UCCCCGCCACUGCCACCGCAGUCUGACAGAAGAGCGAGCGAGGUUGUAUCAUGGCGAGCAACAGGUCGUUUACUGGGAAGAAGAUUUGGUGUUGAUGGAGGAGGCAACAUCUUAAAGGCAAAACCUUAGACCUCAUUCAACAUCAUCCAAUGUUGCAAUCACCCUCAGGAGGCACUUGAAGACCAGUGUCCAAUAUGUACAUUUCCAGUGUCAGAAGUAGAGCUGCCAUGCCAGCUUUUGUGGAGAAAGUGAGGAGGAUGCGAUUCGUCAUGCAGCAGCACAGACAAUCUGUCACGAGAUAACAUGUCUAAAGUUGUGGAAACGUCAAAAAACAGGAAGCCCUGUCAAUCCCUUGAAAAUCACCUUCCUUGGAGAGUCUGUGUUUUUAAGCUUCAAUGUGAGUCACUGUUACCAUUACCUUUCUCCACAAAAGCUGGCAUGGCAGUUCUACUUCUG